GUAAUAGUUAUGUUCUUGAAACCCAAAGAAUUUGGCGGUAUUUUAUUCUUUUUAGAGGAACCUGUCCUGUAAUUGAUAAUCCACGAUGAAGAGUUACUUAUUUUUGUUCUCAUUUUGUAUACCUCCGUCAUCAGAGUAUCUUUUUUAGAGAUAAUAUUCUAAGCAUAAUAAAUAUAGUAUGUCAGGUCAAGGUGCAAUUUAUGAAUAAGUAGAGAUGGGUUACAAUAAAAUUAUUUAUACGGAUUAUUAUUAUUAUUAAUAGUAUGAAGGUGGAUUUAAAAGUAAAAUUAUUUUCUUGAUAGUUUGAUCUUGGCUCUAAAAUAUGCACACAUCGC
rnacentral:rRNA from 1 species